UACGAAGGGGGGCUAGCGUUGCUCGGAAUCACUGGGCGUAAAGGGUGCGUAGGCGGGUCUUUAAGUCAGGGGUGAAAUCCUGGAGCUCAACUCCAGAACUGCCUUUGAUACUGAAGAUCUUGAGUUCGGGAGAGGUGAGUGGAACUGCGAGUGUAGAGGUGAAAUUCGUAGAUAUUCGCAAGAACACCAGUGGCGAAGGCGGCCUCACUGCCCGAUACUGACGCUGAGGCACGAAAGCGUGGGGAGCAAACAGGG
rnacentral:rRNA from 1 species